rnacentral:tRNA from 1 species
UAGCUCAGAGGUUAAAGCGUCUGCCUGAAAUGCGGGAGACCUAGGUUCGAUUCCUGG